rnacentral:rRNA from 1 species
CGUGAGCGAUGAAGCCCCUCGGGGUGUAAAGCUCUUUCGGCAGGGACGAUAAUGACGGUACCUGAAGAAGAAGCUGCGGCUAACUACGUGC